CGGAGCGUAGCGCAGCCUGGUAGCGCACCUGCAUGGGGUGCAGGGGGUCGGGUGUUCAAAUCACCUCGCUCCGACCA
rnacentral:tRNA from 1 species